CGCACAUUGCGCCCCUUGGUAUUCCAGGGGGCAUGCCUGUUUGAGCGUCAUUUCCUUCUCAAAUACUUGUAUUUGGUUGUGAGUGACACUCAGUCUUGCAUUGAGUUAACUUGAAAUUGUUGGCCGUAGCGGUUGUUGCAGCUUAUAGUUUUUGUGUAAUGGUAUGAUUUCUUUACUAUUAAACAGGAUGCUUGAGCAUGUCGUAUUAGGUUUUACCAACUCCGGCAGACUCGGUAUCUUGGAAGAGCGUACUGGCAUUAGAACAUUGAACUGUCGACUGUGGCAAACAGUACUCUUUAAGUUUGACCUCAAAUCAGGUAGGAAUACCCGCUGAACUUAA
rnacentral:misc_RNA from 1 species